rnacentral:lncRNA from 1 species
UCAGUGACACUAGAGGGGAAAUAAAUGGAGAUCCAAGCUAAGUGAGAAAUUGUGUCCAGUCAGUUUUAAACACCCUUAACUCAAUG